rnacentral:tRNA from 1 species
UGGGGUGUGGCUCAGUCGUUGAGCGCUCACCUGGCACGUGCGAGGCCCUGGGUUUGAUCCUCAGCACCACAU